GACGUCGAUAUUCGACUUCAUAAACACGAUAAACGUUUGCGUUUAUGGCGUCGAUAUUCGACUUCAUAAACACGAUCAACUUAGGUGUUUAUGACGUCGAUAUUCGACGUCAUAAAGACGAUCAACUUUGGUAUUUAUGACGUCGAUAUUCGACGUAAUAAACACGAUCAACUUUGUUGUUUAUGACGUCGAUAUUCGACGUCAUAAAUACGAUCAACUUUGGUGUUUAUGACGUCGAUAUUUGACGUC
rnacentral:miRNA from 1 species